CGCACCUACCGAUUGAAUGUUUCGGUGAAGAUUCCGGACCGUGGCUCGCGUGCUUCACGGCGCUCCUGCCGUGGGAAGUUAUCUAAACCUCAACAUUUAGAGGAAGGUGAAGUCGUAACAAGGUUUCCGUAGGUGAACCUGCGGAAGGAUCAUUA
rnacentral:rRNA from 1 species